AUUAUUUAUUGAUCAUAUUUAAUUUUAUUUUUCAGUAUCAAAUGAUCAAUAAAUUGUUAUAGUUUAAAUAAGGAUUGCAAUUUCUUUUUUAAUUUCAGGCAAAUUGAUGCACUUUAAGUCUUUUCUAAUACAGACUGAAAAUCAAUGUUAAUAAAAUUAUUCUUUGUUGUAAGUUGAUCUAUAUUUUUUUCUUUUUGUUUUGUUUUCUUUAAUGUUAAUAAGUGUACAAUGUUAUGCAGAGGUAUACUUAAAACAAUUUUAAGGACAAAUGAUAAAAUUUACAGUCGCGGCGGAGAUGUUGGGGGCGGGGGGUGUGUGCGUUUACUUCUUCCUAGUGUGACCGUAUGAAUGAGGUAAGAGUGGUGAUUGACGCCCAUAACCACCAAUCAGUAGCGAGCAGGCUACUAUAGCGGUUUCAGGAUUCUCCUUUUCAUCCUGGGCGAUUAUCACUGCAGUUUGGUUUUUCCUCCACUGCGCGCCGAGUGAAUAAUAUCGGCUUACAACUAUUUAAAGGGACUUCUGCUACUGCCGUCUGGUUUCUGUGAAAGUUUUAACUGACCUUUUCUGGUCUACUUUGGGGUGGAAGAUCGCGCAUUUCUUGGAGCUGGCCUAAGGACGAUGUGGCCGCUCCAUUGAGUCCUGUUUUCCUCAAACAUUUUACAAAGUCUUUCGUUGUGUUGAAUUGUGACUUCCAUUUGCUUUUCAUUCAUUUCUGUUCAGGAGAUGUAUUUAUUUUGUUUUUGAUUCCUUUCAGGAGUUGGGGUCCCACGGGUGAAAGAUCUUUGGUGGUGGUGCUACUUCAACGUUUGCCCUGCGACACUCUUAAAGUGUACGAGUGUGUGAUCUGAGUUUUUAGAUAAUUAGCACUGGUGAUCACUCCGGUGGGUAACCCCAGCCCUGUACUUAUUAUUAUAUUUUGUUUUGUUUAUUUGGAAGUUGAGUAAAUUGGUUGUUUAAUAUUUCUUUCAUCUGAUCGUUUGUUAAUUGUGUAAUUGUCUGUCACUGGACCUUUUAUAUUUUUUUUUUUUUACCAGUGAGGACAUUUUCUCUUUUUUUUAGUUUGCUUUUAUAAUGUUGGUUUGUAAUUUCAAGAUUUCAAUAAAUGUUGUAUUUUUAUAAGAU